CCGCGAGUGCCGCGGAGAGGGAAGGGAGCGGAGCGCCAGACCUAGGGGCUUUGCAACCCUUGCCUUUGCCGCAGACAACUUAGCAUGUGCCCCCAACUCUUCCAGAAUCAACAUUUCUAAGUACCUAGAAGAAACAUAUUAGAGUGGGUCCAGUCCGUAUUUCAGGCAUGCCUGCCACUUCAAGGACUCUAGAAAAUUCCAUUCAUACAUCAAAUUUUAUUGAGCACCAACAAGGCACAAGAUACACAAGAGCAGAUGAAAUGGGUGCUGACCUUAAGAGACCUAAAUCUUUGAAGGAAAUAAAAUCUGUAAAAAUAAUCACAGAAUAAUAUGUGAAAGGCCUUAAAUGUGGUAUAGAACGCCAAGGGGCCAAAUAAGGUUUCAGUAUCAGGGACUUGUGGAAGAUUCCCAGACGAGAACGGACUGGUCACAUGGAGGGACAUAUUCCAAGCAGAAAGAACAGUAUCGGAUGAAAAUAACGGGGCAUAUGGAGUAAUAAACUAGUCUAGGUACUGGACUAAUGUAGGAAAAAAAACAUGAAAUCGGGCCUACAGAAAGACUUUGUAUCUGAUUAAAUUUCAUAAUAUAAGAAGAAGAAUGAAAUUUAGCUGUAAUUAUUUAUUAAAAGUAUCCUUUUAAAGAGCUUAGAAAAUGUUAUCUGUCAAAUGUCAGGGAUUUUCUUCUAUUGCUAUUUUGAGAAGGUAUCUUAAUGUUCAGAUGUUCAGAUUUCUAUUAAGAAUAAAUGACCUCAUCCUGCUUCACAUUCUACCUCCCAGAGACACA